UACGUAGGGAGCAAGCGUUGUCCGGAAUCAUUGGGCGUAAAGCGCGCGUAGGUGGCCCCGUAAGUCCGCUGUGAAAGUCAAAGGCUCAACCUUUGAAAGCCGGUGGAUACUGUGGGGCUAGAGUGCGGAAGAGGCGAGUGGAAUUCCUGGUGUAGCGGUGGAAUGCGCAGAUAUCAGGAGGAACACCAAUAGCGAAGGCAGCUCGCUGGGACGUUACUGACACUGAGGCGCGAAAGCGUGGGGAGCGAACAGG
rnacentral:rRNA from 1 species